AUUGAACGCUGGCGGCAUGCCUUACACAUGCAAGUCGAACGGCAGCACGGGAGUAAUCCUGGUGGCGAGUGGCGAACGGGUGAGUAAUAUAUCGGAACGUGCCCAGUCGUGGGGGAUAACGUAGCGAAAGUUACGCUAAUACCGCAUAUUCUGUGAGCAGGAAAGCAGGGGAUCGCAAGACCUUGCGCUGAUUGAGCGGCCGAUAUCAGAUUAGCUAGUUGGUGAGGUAAAAGCUCACCAAGGCGACGAUCUGUAGCGGGUCUGAGAGGAUGAUCCGCCACACUGGAACUGAGACACGGUCCAGACUCCUACGGGAGGCAGCAGUGAGGAAUAUUGGUCAAUGGGCGCAAGCCUGAACCAGCCAUCCCGCGUGAAGGAAGAAUGCGCUACGCGUUGUAAAACUUCUUUUCCAGGGGGAGAAUAAAUCCUGUCGUGACAGGACUUGACGGUACUCUGGGAAUAAGCAAUCGGCUAAACUCCCGU
rnacentral:rRNA from 1 species